rnacentral:lncRNA from 10 species
AGACCAUCACGGACGCCGAGCUUCAGGUGACUCUCACAGUGGAAGGUCCAGGAACUCACUUUUUAUGGUUUCUCUGGGGUCCCCUUUGGCUAAGAGAAGGUCUGUUCAGCAGACAGACCUAGGCACUGCCCUCUUCCCCAAGCCAGCAGGAAAUAAGCACACAGCAUUUCUACUUUCCAUAUCUAAUCGUGAUGUUUAGGCUGACAGCAAAAGUGCCAGGUACUGUCAGUUGUGAUCACAGUCACCAAACUGGAGAACAUGGACUGAGACCCCGACAUUGACCAAACCUGAGACUGAGACAGCAGCUGCUUCACAUCUCUACCACACAGAUGCAGAUGCAGUUGCAAAGCAGUAGUACUCGGGAGUGAAAGGCAGUCAUGCUCCUCUGGUUCAUCUCGCAUCCUGUGUUGUCCACAUUGCACCCCUGUCCCUUUCCAUUUAUCACGCCAGUCUUGACAAAGAGGCAUGCUGUUUUUUUCCCUGCUUUAACCUGUUUCAGAAAUGCUGACCUUGCGAAGGUCUUCACCACCAUGAAGUUUCCCAGAGAGACUCUCACCACUGCUGUUCAGACACAAGGACCAUGCCAUAACCUGUCAUCAGGAAAGAGACUAUGUUAAAGAAGGAUUUUCAUCCUGUCUUAUGAAGAAAUUCCAUUUCAAUGCUGCGAUAAUGCAAAGUAAUUCUUCUCAACCAUCUGAAAUCACAAUUGUUCCUUUCUGGAGAUGGCAUGUGAAGAUAUUCCCAAGACUGUGACUAAGUUGGUUGGAGGUUGUAACACCAUCAUUCCAUUGCCUCUCGCUGCUCUGCUGUUGCUUUCCACCAGCGUAAAAUCAAUUAAGGAGGUCUUGUGUGGUAAGAAUCGUAAGAAGACAAUAAAACUACAGCUGAGUCAUGGCCUGGUGUUCUCCUGAUGACACACUCAGCCCUACAGUGUUACAGAGCUCACAGAAUUAUGU